CAAAAACAUAGCCACAUGCAUUUACUUGUGGUAGUUUCUGCUCAAUGAGAAAUUAAAUGGCCGCAGUACCCUGACUGUGCAAAGGUAGCGUAAUCAGUUGUCUUUUAAUUGAAGUCUUGUAUGAACGAAUAUAUGGGGGCCUUCUAUACCAGUAGUAUUAACGGAAGUUACUAAGUGAGUGCAAAUGCUCACAAGAUACAAUAGACGAGCAGACCCUAGAAAUUUUUAACUGUAGUUUUUGUUGGGGCAACAUAGUAACAAGAUAAUUUACUUUAUGUAUAUGAAAUGUGUUAGUUAAAAGAAAUAACUCUAGGGAUAACAGCAUAAUAUAGAAAUGUUUGUGACCUCGAUGUUGGAUUAGGAAGUUAAWACUUAGAAGGUUGUUAAAUUUGCUCUGUUCG
rnacentral:rRNA from 1 species